CAGGGAAUCUUCGGCAAUGGACGGAAGUCUGACCGAGCAACGCCGCGUGAGUGAAGAAGGUUUUCGGAUCGUAAAGCUCUGUUGUAAGAGAAGAACGAGUGUGAGAGUGGAAAGUUCACACUGUGACGGUAUCUUACCAGAAAGGGACGGCUAACUACGUGCCAGCAGCCGCGGUAAUACGUAGGUCCCGAGCGUUGUCCGGAUUUAUUGGGCGUAAAGCGAGCGCAGGCGGUUAGAUAAGUCUGAAGUUAAAGGCUGUGGCUUAACCAUAGUAGGCUUUGGAAACUGUUUAACUUGAGUGCAAGAGGGGAGAGUGGAAUUCCAUGUGUAGCGGUGAAAUGCGUAGAUAUAUGGAGGAACACCGGUGGCGAAAGCGGCUCUCUGGCUUGUAACUGACGCUGAGGCUCGAAAGCGUGGGGAGCAAACAGGAUUAGAUACCCUGGUAGUCCACGCUGUAAACGAUGAGUGCUAGGUGUUAGACCCUUUCCGGGGUUUAGUGCCGUAGCUAACGCAUUAAGCACUCCGCCUGGGGAGUACGACCGCAAGGUU
rnacentral:rRNA from 1 species